rnacentral:rRNA from 1 species
AUACAGGGUGACAGCCCCGUACACAAAAGCGCAUGUGUUGUGAGCUCGAUGAGUAGGGCGGGACACGUGGUAUCCUGUCUGAAUAUGGGGGGACCAUCCUCCAAGGCUAAAUACUCCUGACUGACCGAUAGUGAACCAGUACCGUGAGGGAAAGGCGAAAAGAACCCCGGCGAGGGGAGUGAAAAAGAACCUGAAACCGUGUACGUACAAGCAGUGGGAGCACAGGUUUACCUGUGUGACUGCGUACCUUUUGUAUAAUGGGUCAGCGACUUAUAUUCUGUAGCAAGGUUAACCGAAUAGGGGAGCCGGAGGGAAACCGAGUCUUAAUUGGGCGUUAAGUUGCAGGGUAUAGACCCGAAACCCGGUGAUCUAGCCAUGGGCAGGUUGAAGGUUGGGUAACACUAACUGGAGGACCGAACCGACUAAUGUUGAAAAAUUAGCGGAUGACCUGUGGCUGGGGGUGAAAGGCCAAUCAAACCGGGAGAUAGCUGGUUCUCCCCGAAAGCUAUUUAGGUAGCGCCUCGUGAACUCAUCUCCGGGGGUAGAGCACUGUUUCGGCUAGGGGGCCAUCCCGGCUUACCAACCCGAUGCAAACUGCGAAUACCGGAGAAUGUUAUCACGGGAGACACACGGCGGGUGCUAACGUCCGUCGUGAAGAGGGAAACAACCCAGACCGCCAGCUAAGGUCCCAAAGUCAUGGUUAAGUGGGAAACGAUGUGGGAAGGCCCAGACAGCCAGGAUGUUGGCUUAGAAGCAGCCAUCAUUUAAAGAAAGCGUAAUAGCUCACUGGUCGAGUCGGCCUGCGCGGAAGAUGUAACGGGGCUAAAUCAUGCACCGAAGCUGCGGCAGCGACACUCAGGUGUUGUUGGGUAGGGGAGCGUUCUGUAAGCCUGUGAAGGUGUGUCGUGAGGCAUGCUGGAGGUAUCAGAAGUGCGAAUGCUGACAUAAGUAACGAUAAAGCGGGUGAAAAGCCCGCUCGCCGGAAGACCAAGGGUUCCUGUCCAACGUUAAUCGGGGCAGGGUGAGUCGACCCCUAAGGCGAGGCCGAAAGGCGUAGUCGAUGGGAAACGGGUUAAUAUUCCCGUACUUGGUGUUACUGCGAAGGGGGGACGGAGAAGGCUAUGUUGGCCGGGCGACGGUUGUCCCGGUUUAAGCGUGUAGGUGUGUGUUCCAGGUAAAUCCGGUUCACUUUAACACUGAGGCGUGAUGACGAGGCACUACGGUGCUGAAGCAACAAAUGCCCUGCUUCCAGGAAAAGCCUCUAAGCAUCAGGUAACAUCAAAUCGUACCCCAAACCGACACAGGUGGUCAGGUAGAGAAUACCAAGGCGCUUGAGAGAACUCGGGUGAAGGAACUAGGCAAAAUGGUGCCGUAACUUCGGGAGAAGGCACGCUGACACGUAGGUGAAGUGAUUUACUCA